UUACUAAUAAAUAAAAAUACUUACCUAUAGAAUUUAAAACCAUUCCUAGAGUGGUUCGAACAAUUUGAGGCCGAACAGCCAGUCAUUUUUACAAAACAAUUAAGUUGCCACGUAAUAAAAGGUCUGUUCUUUAUUGCUGAACUGCUGCACUAGUUCAGAGUUUAUCCUUUUCCUUUCAAUGUGUAGUAAAAAAGAUAAACUCUGAACUAGUACAGCAGUUCAGCAAUAAAGAACAGACCUAAAAAGUAACGUCACAAGUUCAACCGAACAAAGCUUGGGCUCCAAUAUGGCGGACGAGUCAGCUAUCCUUUAUAUAGUAGCUAUAGGGUAGUAUAUCACGUCACGUGAUUAGGACUGUUAGUUACACAAGAAUAGCACGUGCCUGGCCUACUAUCUCACUCGCACAUCUCUGACCGCGCGAGAACAAAGCAGUGCGCGUUCCAGUAUGGUUAUAUUUCAAUGGUCGACCCGCUCCAACUGUCCAAUCGCUGUCACUCUUUGGGCUCAACAUGGCUCCACCAAUCAGGAACUAGAUGUCGAUAGAGUCUAGAUAUAAGAGAAGCGACAUUGAAGAAUAUCGUCUGAUUAGCUAAGUAAAUCACGUGAUUGAGCGCCAUUUUGUUUGCUACUAUGGUGCAAUAAAAUAAGGUUAGAUGACUACUUUUAAAGCAAUUAUGUGUACAGGCAAGCUGUUAUUAAUUGCGAUAACCUGCUUUGACCUUCUUGUACCUCGCAUAUGGAGAAAACAAGAUGGUGGCUUAUCGAUAUAUCGCAUGUAUCGAUUUCAGUGUCGCUUCUCUUAUAUCUAGGACUCUAGACGUCGAUUUCGCUUCUCUGAUUUAUAUAGAACUCUACGUGCCAUAAACUAUAGAGUUUCAGUACUGGCAGUGAAUUUUAGAACACAGCCUAUGAAUACCGGCCUAAUCACUGGAACUGAAUUUUAAUAAAGGAAAAAGUUGUUUUUUUGAUAUCAAAACUCAUCUGGUGUACUUCACAUGCGCUUAUUCUUGACAUCUUGUAUGGUGCGUAAUUAAACGUAAAUUGUGUUUAUAUUAAAUAUUCCAAUUGCCACUGGGUGCUUUUUAAUUGCUUAUACAAACGUACCAGGAAGACACAAAGGUAUUUUAUUGGCUAUAUAUUACUUGGAAGAUAUUUUAGAUAAUAUAUAGCCAAUACAAUACCUUUGUGCCUUCCUGUGUACGUUUGUGUUAAGCAAUUGGAAAGCACCCACUGUUGUCAACAAUUGCUUGGUAUAUCGAAGAUAUAUUUAGCAAAUUUAAAUUUUCGAAACUGAGAAAUAUUUUUAAAUGUUUAGAUAAAUCUUCAAUAUUCUUGUCUUCUCAUAUUAUUUUAUCCUAUUCAAUAUAUAAAAUUAAAAAAUUAUUUUUACGUAUAAAUACUUUUUUCAAUCUUUUUAGACUUUUUUAAACAUAAAGGAAAAAAAUAGUUAUAAUUUUUCAACAUUUUAUAUAUGCAGGAUUUAUUUUUGAAGUCAUUCUUUCGAAAAAGAUCAUUAGUACAACGCGUAAUAGACAUAAGUUCCCUUUAUCUGACGCACCCAAAACUAUCUUAAGUUUUAAGCUAGAAACUAGAUUAGCUUUUAAGCAAAAAUUACAUCUGUCACGCAUAUCUUCUUAAUGGAGUACAUAUAAAUUGCUUGAUAGAUAUACCUGUACGAAAUCGCGGAAAUCUGCAACGUUUACGCAAUUCUUCAAUAACACGUAAUUUCCUUUACCUAUUUAUCAGAUUUAGUAUUUUAUAAAAAUGCAUAAUUAUAUAUUUUGCAUUUUUUUGCAUAGUAUAAAAUGUGUGCUAUAACAAAAUUAGACAUUAAAGAUUUUUAAGAGAAAAAUUCAUUAAAUUUAAAUAGUCAUAACUUCGCGAAAAACAUCGAAGAGUAAUUCAAGGCUCAUUUUAAAGGGCAAAACCUCAUCUUUAACUCAUGUAAAAAUUAUUCUCGAAGAUGAUUUAUCAUCGGAAGACAUCCUCUUAAACAACUUUAUACACGAAACGUGCUUUUUUGUGAAAGUUUACAAAUUCAUCAUUCCGUAGAAAAAAUGAAAAUUUUCUUCCAAGAUAUUUUAUCUAGAACACAAAGUUUAAAAUCUCCGCUUUAAGGUGAAUACAAGAAAUUGAUCUGAUAGAAUUAAGAUGGGGAGAAUCGCAUGCACGCAUACACGUUUGAGAUGUGAAUCUUGCCAGUACUGUGUUACAUUUCAAAUUUUAUUAAGGUUUAUUUUAAGUUGUAUCUACACCUAAACAGUUUCGUAGAUUUGUUUUGUACUUAUUUUAAACUUUGUGUUCUAUAUAAGAGAUCUAAGAAAUGAAUUUUCAUCUUUUACAUGGAACAAUAAAUUUACUAAAUUUUAC
rnacentral:lncRNA from 1 species